rnacentral:rRNA from 1 species
CUAGAGUAGAAGGAGUUGCGAACGGGUGAGUAACGCGUAGGUAACCUGCCUACUAGCGGGGGAUAACUAUUGGAAACGAUAGCUAAUACCGCAUAACAGUGUUUAACACAUGUUAGAUGCUUGAAAGAUGCAAUUGCAUCACUAGUAGAUGGACCUGCGUUGUAUUAGCUAGUUGGUGGGGUAACGGCCCACCAAGGCGACGAUACAUAGCCGACCUGAGAGGGUGAUCGGCCACACUGGGACUGAGACACGGCCCAGACUCCUACGGGAGGCAGCAGUAGGGAAUCUUCGGCAAUGGGGGCAACCCUGACCGAGCAACGCCGCGUGAGUGAAGAAGGUUUUCGGAUCGUAAAGCUCUGUUGUAAGAGAAGAACGUGUGUGAGAGUGGAAAGUUCACACAGUGACGGUAACUUACCAGAAAGGGACGGCUAACUACGUGCCAGCAGCCGCGGUAAUACGUAGGUCCCGAGCGUUGUCCGGAUUUAUUGGGCGUAAAGCGAGCGCAGGCGGUUUAAUAAGUCUGAAGUUAAAGGCAGUGGCUUAACCAUUGUUCGCUUUGGGAACUGUUAAACUUGAGUGCAGAAGGGGAGAGUGGAAUUCCAUGUGUAGCGGUGAAAUGCGUAGAUAUAUGGAGGAACACCGGUGGCGAAAGCGGCUCUCU